UACGAAGGGGGGCUAGCGUUGCUCGGAAUCACUGGGCGUAAAGGGUGCGUAGGCGGGUCUUUUAAGUCAGGGGUGAAAUCCUGGAGCUCAACUCCAGAACUGCCUUUGAUACUGAGGAUCUUGAGUAUGGGAGAGGUGAGUGGAACUGCGAGUGUAGAGGUGAAAUUCGUAGAUAUUCGCAAGAACACCAGUGGCGAAGGCGGCUCACUGGCCCAUUACUGACGCUGAGGCACGAAAGCGUGGGGAGCAAACAGGG
rnacentral:rRNA from 1 species